rnacentral:rRNA from 1 species
CAGCCGCCACGGUAAAACGGAGGGUGCAAGCGUUAUCCGGAUUUAUUGGGUUUAAAGGGUCCGUAGGCGGAUCUGUAAGUCAGUGGUGAAAUCUCACAGCUUAACUGUGAAACUGCCAUUGAUACUGCAGGUCUUGAGUAAAUUUGAAGUGGCUGGAAUAAGUAGUGUAGCGGUGAAAUGCAUAGAUAUUACUUAGAACACCAAUUGCGAAGGCAGGUCACUAAGAUUUAACUGACGCUGAUGGACGAAAGCGUGGGGAGCGAACAGGAUUAGAGACCCCCGUAGUCCCUGUCUCUUAUAC